rnacentral:ncRNA from 1 species
AAAAAUAGAUAUGCUUCGUAUAAUCCCCUUAAUAUGGUAGGGGAGUCUCUACCUAGUCGCCGUAAAUGACUAGAUUACGAGUGCAUAGGU